rnacentral:lncRNA from 1 species
AAAUUUCAAAUGUGCUCAAAUUAUUUUGAUAAGUGGGUCGCAUUAGUCAUGUUUCCAUUGCACACAUUUUCAAAUCACAUACAUAAUUACUAUUUCAUAUGAAACAAAAAUUGUAAUUCUAAAACAUACAUGAAAUUCACAAACAGAGAGAAGAUACAUUAAAUCACAUACAUAAUUACUAUUUCAUUCACAAACAAAGAGAAGAUACAUUAAAUUCCCAGAUAACCCAGCUAUUUUUACAGAACUUGCUAUAUAAGAAUGUCUUGGAGCUUCUUUCAACAUCUUUUGUCUUGAAUUUACUCAAAAUAUCUGCCAACAAGAAAACAGAAAACAACAGGUGAGCUAUUUAGUAGUAAGAUCACGUCUGGAAAGAAACAUGCAUGAAAAUUAAGAAGAGCUAGAAUAUGGAUGCCCAAAUAGUUUUCGUGCACGUCAUGCCAAGUUAGGCACCACGUAGAAUGCAUAUGGGCCAUAAAAAUGAUCAAAUGAGUAAGGGAUGAAGCCAAACAAUGGUUCCUCCUUGCAAUGAUCACAUUUAGAUAGCAGCGACCUACUAAAGUUCAUGUUACAACAACACUAGUUCAUGUGAGAAACACACAGGGUCCAAAGUACAAACCGAAAACAAUCUGACUUGGGUAAACCAGGACAUGAUGAAACAAAAUUAUUCAUUUUGGGUUAAAAGAGGAAUAUGAUGUCCACCUUAUACUACUACAUCAUCAUCAGGAUUAAAACAACACAUUUAUAGUCACAGUGUUGGAUGAGAAAAAUAUCAAUUGAAAAAAAGACAAGGUAGAAUCAAAUCAGGUUAUAGUUUGUGGGAAUCAAUGCACACAGCAUGAACGACAAGGUAGCAUCAAAUCAGAUGAUGAUUGCAUACAUACAAAUCAUGUGCUGGCAGAAAAAAAUCCGAGCAGGAGCUCAUCUUCCCUCUCUGUUUGGUAACUAACAACCUAAAUAAAAUAAAAUAAAAACAUGACUUGUUCAUACAGAUCCCUCUAAAAUUCCUUGGGACAAGUGCAUCACAUAUUCGUCAACUUAGCUGCAAAAGUAGUGAGCACGGGAAGAGGGGAGGGAGAUGGAGGAGCUACCUGCCGCGGUCGUAAUGGAAGCAGAGGAGCCGACCCCUCCUGCCCCUCCCCCACGAGCAGGACAGGGCUGCCGGCUGGGCACGCCCCUACUCCUCCGCCUCCUUGAUCAGAGACCCCCUUCCCCUACUGUUGCUUGGCGCGCCGCAUCACUAGUCACCUCCUCAUGCAAGAAGUACACAAUAAAUAGACAGACGGUCAGUGAGGUACAUUUUCACAGCAACAUAAGCUUAAAAUUAACACAAAUACACACAUCAAAUGAAGUCACUAAGAUACUUAAGUCCACCACAUGGUGUAGAAUUAUGUGGUAUAUAAUUGCAACACAUGAAUUAAAUGAGGAAUAACAUCAUCACCAAGAGUUUCUGAUGAUAAGCAUAGCUCCCUACAAAAAAGAACUAAGGGCACAGUGACUAAAGCAUGCAGAACACAAUAUUGAAAGCAGAAGCAAGCAGGCAGUAUGAGCUACCUACUGGCAAAGUAUAAAACCUGAAUCAUAUAGUACAAAUGAAUCAAGAAAACAAGAACUAACAAUGAGAACUGCAUACUAAUGCACCAGAUGAUCAACAUCAAGUGUAGUAUAUUCACAUAAGUUUGCUUAUUUGUUUUUCUGAACAUAAUAAUGUAUAGCCCCAGAUUUUCUGAACUAUAAAAAUGAUGUAGCAAAAUCAGGGGUUGUAGUAAAUACAGUACGAAUUAUGAAUACGGUUCAGUUUCAAUAUAUACCAUAUUAUUUUGGUAUAACUUCAGUAAAUACCAUAUAAACAAUAGUUGACGCGAAUAACAGGGGCUUCACAUAAAAAAACAUAUAUACAUGAUAAAUUGAGUAGGUAAAAAAUUGUCUUUAACCUAAAAACUAACACCACCAACGC